CCUGAAGAUGAAUCCUCGUCCUCGGAAGAAGAUGAGGAAGAUUCAGAGAAGACGACGGAAGAAAUGAAUUUCCCGGCGCCGGAGGCAAUCACGGUGACAGGUUUGUAAACGAGCCUGGACAUCCAACUAGGGUUUUGCUGAGGAGGAUCUCUGGAUCUUGGAGCGGGGCGGUCGUACGGCGUCUUGACGGCGAAUCUCCGGCGAGGUCGAACAAUCUUGCCUCCGGAUUGAGGCUGACGUGGUCCGGCGUCGGAAUCCAUGGGAGAAGUCAGAAGGGAGAAAGUGAGAGAGUUCGUUGAUGUUUUUUCUAGUUAUUUGUCGUCUUCUUGUUCUCCUCCCUCUAUAUUUUUUUUUUAUCUGUUUUUUCUCACCCCAGUUUUGUUUCCUAAUUAACAGGGCUGCGGUUAGAAUUACUAAUCAUUUUUUUAAAUGAAAUUCAUGUUUGUUUUCCACAUUAAGGCCAAUUAUAUCUUGAUCCGCCCCCGCACGGCUGUUAGAUUUAAUUUGCGUUCAAUGUAAAUUUAUAAACCAUUAAUUUUAUAAAAUAUCCAUUUAUAUUUUUAUGUUUUGUAAAAUGUAUUUAGUGUAAAAUAUAUUAUAUUAUAAUAUAGACUAGAGCUUGACCCGCACAUCCGUGCGGGUUUUAUUUUUAUCUUUUUAUAAUUUUUUUAGUGAUAUUCUUAAAACAUAUAAGUUAUUUAGAUAUUUUUAGGUUCCUACAAACUUACCCGGAUCCGGAAGAAUCCAAACUGAACCAUGUUCGAAAAUUUAUAAUACCCGAACAUAGUUUAACUUUAAAUCAAAAAAACUCGAUAUCCAUAAAUAUUGAUAUGUAUCUGAACGAAUACAUGAAUGACCAUGUCUAAAUGAUCUAGUAAACAAAUAAAAAUAAAUUUGUUAACCGGUUUGACUUCUUGUCACUAAAGGAGUAAUUUCAUUUUGACACGUGAAAUUAUUAUGGUUAAUACGUAAAAUAAAUGACAUUGAAUUAUAAUGGUAAAUAAAAUUAAUGAAGUAAUUUUGAAAAGUAAAAAAAAAGAAUGUGAAAACGUGAUAAGAUCUUGUGCUUAUUCCAUAAAUGUUUAUCUAAGUUUUUAUGUUUGUUCUUUUAUUAUAGACGUAAAUCAAAGAUUUUCUGCUUGUUUUAAUAUUCUGGAUUCUAAAUUAAUGUAGUUCCUUUAUUAUAGUCGUGGAAAUCACAUUUAGGAAAACAAUAUAGUUCGUUUGAGUUAUUAAUAAUUUGUUUCCUUGUUUGUAGUUCGUUUGAGUUAUUUUAGGAAAACAAUGAAUAUGUAGAAAAAACAAUCAUUUUUAAUGUGAGAUUAAUUUAAUUCUUAAUGGCAUUUGGCUGUAAAUAUUGUGUAACUUUUAGGGUUAUUCUAUAAGUGUACUUUUGUUUUAAUAUAUUAGAUGUUUGAUAUUUUUUUAUCUGUACGUAAUAUUAUAUUUAUAAUUUUAUAACUUGAUGCAAUUUGAUGUAAUUGUAAUAUUCAUAUAUUAACCUAUUGAUUUUUUUGUUUAUUUAUUUAAAAAUGAUUUAAUUUUUUAGAGUAGGUUUUAUGAAUUGUUAUUAAUUUUAUGAUAUUUGGUUUUCUUGAAAAUUGUAUUGUAGCAGAUUAAUAUAUACUAUAUAUUACAAUUUGUAUUUUUUAUUUUCAGCAAAAAAAAUAACAGUUCAUUGUAAUUAAUUAAUUUAAAUUUUUGAUUUUAAGUGAAUUGACAGAUUUGUAAUUAAAAAUGAAAUACAAUUGCUAAAUGUGUAAAUAAAAAAAAAUAUUUAAUCUACUAUACGUGUUUCCAUAAUCUGUAAAUGAGAAAGAAAUACAGUAACUAAAUAUGUAAAUAAAAAAAAUAUUUAAUCUGCUAUCAUUGUUUCUAAACAACUUACAUUUAAUUUACUAUCUAAGUUUUCAAAUAGUAUCAAAAGAUACUUCAGUUUUAAUAAUAUAGAUUGAUGACAAUAUUUUAGGAAAAAAAAAAUAUUAUGGUCAAUUAUUUGUUUUUCAAAUUUUAUACUACCAAUUAGAUUAAAUUUUUGGUCAAGAUAGAUCUUACUCUAUUCUUUUAAAUUUUUCAUGAACGAACGAAAUUUUUGAAAAAAAAUCUACUCUUCUAUUUUUUUUAUGAAGAAUAAAAUGAACAACUUUUUUUCGUUUAUUUAAUUUCUUAAAUGAAUUUCUGUUUAUUAUUUUUUUUGGUAUUGGAUAUUGGAUAAACCUGCUGUUCAUUUAUUCAACGGGCUUUAACACUUUAAGCCCAAUAACAACAAAACCUUAGGCCCACUAGAAACUUACCAGCUUUUCCCCAUAACAUCAUCAAAACGAAACGAGCAAAACCAUUUGGAAUCGAUUGAUCUGUUCAUUUCUCUUCUUUCGCUCAUCGGAAUCGAUCGAGCUGGUGAGAGAUGCCGGGCUUAACAUGUAACGCGUGUAACAUGGAGUUCGAGAACGAAGCUGAACGAAAGCUCCAUUACAGCUCCGAUUGGCACCGUUACAAUCUCAAGCGCAAGGUCAUAUAUUUUUGUCGGUUUAUUAUUUGUUCGUCGGAAAAUUCUAUUCCGAUGGUUUUGCUUAAGAUAAAAAUGAAAGCUUCUGAGCAAAAAAAAUCAAAACUUUAUCAUUUCUUUUAUCGAAAUGGUUUCACUUUAUCAUUGUUCUUGAUGUUGAGGUUUUGGAUACGUUUAGGUAGCUGGAGUUCCCGGGGUUACGGAAGAGUUGUUUGAGGCGAGACAAUCUGCUCUUGCUCUGGAGAAAGGCAAAUCAGAUGAAGCGCCUAUGCUUUACACCUGCGGAGCUUGUGGUAAAGGCUACAGGAGCUCCAAGGCUCAUGAGCAGCAUCUCAAGUCACGGAGCCACGUUUUGCGUGUUUCGCAGGGGGAAACAAGCAACGGUGAUGAGGAUGUAGCGAUAGUCACGCCGCUUACUCGCCGUUUCAAGAAUAAAGAGAAUGAGGAGAGUGAUGAUGAGUGGGUGGAGGCUGAUUCAGAUGAGGAAAUGGCUGCUGAUGCUGAGGAAGAGGCCUCGGAGGCUUUGUCUAAGUUGAAUGUGAAUGAGUCAGGAGCUGGUGAGGAUGAUAUGGAUGAAGAUGAUGCUUAUGAGCUGGAUCCAACCUGUUGUUUGAUGUGUGACAAGAAGCAUAAGACUUUAGAGAUCUGUAUGGUUCACAUGCAUAAGCACCAUGGCUUCUUCGUUCCGGAUGUUGAGUAUCUAAAAGAUCCUGAAGGGCUUCUCACUUACCUCGGUCUUAAGGUUCGGACUCUCAUCCGUUUAGCAUUCUUGUAAAGCUUUUGGACUUUUUGAAACUCCUAUUUACUCUUUAUACCAUGGAUCAUCACUCAGGUCAAGAGAGACUACAUGUGUCUCUACUGCAGCGAGCUCUGCCAUGCAUUCAGCAGCUUAGAGGCUGUAAGAAAGCAUAUGGAAGCAAAGAGUCAUUGCAAAUUGCAUUAUGGUGAUGGUGAUGGUGAUGAUGAGGAAGAUGCUGAACUAGAAGAGUUCUACGACUACAGCAGCAGGUUUCUACUAGUAUCUUAUUAUUCUUGUAUUCCUCUUUUUGUGCCAAAUCUUAAUACAUUAUCUAUCAUAUUUGAGCAGUUAUGUUGAUGAAACUGGAGACCAGAUAGUUGUAGCUGGUGAAACAGACAACGCUGUAGAACUCGUUGGUGGUUCUGAGCUCGUGAUCACCGAGAGAUCUGAGAACACAACAACGUCUAGGACUCUGGGGUCACGUGAAUUCAUGCGUUACUAUAGACAGAAGCCGCGCCCAAGUUCUCAAAACAGUAACCAGAUUGUUGCCUCUCUGUCUUCAAGGUUUGUCUCUCAAACCGUUCGAUCAUUCAACCUAUUAAACUAGAGAAUCAUCAAGUUAAUCUUAACUAAGGUUAUUUUCCAUAAUUGGUUAAUGCUCAGGUACAAGAGCCUUGGUCUGAAGACAGUGCCAUCGAAAGAGGAUAGAGUGAAGAUGAAAGCGCUCAAGGAGAUGAACAAGAGAGGCGAGACAAUGCGUACCAAGAUGGCAAUGAAGAGUAACGUCAUAAGAAACUUGCCCAACAAUGUUCCUUAUUAGCUCUCUGAGCUUGUCCUUUUGAAUUGUGCGACUGUUCCAUGUACUUUGACAAAGUUGUGUUUGUGAUAAUAAGACUGAGCUUUAAAAACAUAACUAAUAAACAUGUUCAGUAAAAUAGUAAAUGUUAAACAUUGCUGCAGCAACCAAACAAUGUAUUCAAUCAAGUAAAAUACAAGGGAAGAAAGAAAAGAUUAAACCUCCAAGUUCGUUCUUGCUAUAGAGACACAUAGUGUAAAGGGUGCGUGAUACCUGAUUUGGUAGGACCACGCUUUGCUCAAUCUGUAUAGCUGAAAAAAAAAACAGAAACAAAAAGAGUUACUACAUGUAAACCAGAGCAGAAACUACUUUCAGCUUUAUCUCAUGUUGCCAUAUACUGAAAAACACUUAUUUACACAUGAGAAUAAAAAGGAAAAAAAAACACCUUGAGCACCUCCAUCAACAUUCAAUGAUGCUACACUACGAGGGGAUACAGUUUUAAGCAUUUCCUCUGUUGCUUUAGCUCUGACUUUGCGAAUUUCAUCUUGAAUAUUCCAUGUAGGAUUCGAACGGGAUCUCCUUCUCAGCUGCAUUUUGGUAUCCAAAAUCAGAAUGCAUAUGCAUAACUUUGAGAGGAGUCAUAAGACAUACAUAACGGUAUGCAACUUCUUCUUUUUUUGAAAACUGGACAAAGAAAAAACUCAAGACUUUCAAACAAUGUUUUGACCAGAAGAUGAGUAUGCACUGCACCUUGGAAGAGGAGAAGUUUCCAGCACUGUAAGGAAACGGCGUCCCUUCCUUAAUAAGUUGCAUCCCUGCUGGUGAUGGUGAGCGAAACUCUGAAGUGUUCGCAGCUGGAGAUCCCCAUGGCAGACGAGCUCUCAUAUAUGACUUGGCCACAUCCACAGGCGAUCCACCACCAUCUUCAGUUGCCUGGAAGUUGAAAAUAAAAACUGAGGUGGUUAUCAUUGUCUAAAGCACAUUGGAGAAGAAACUAUAAAUGGUGGAAUUGGUCAAGAAAAACUAUCAGAAGAUGAUUUUUUUUUUUUUUUUUGUGAGCACAUGAUAAUACUUAAAACUACUCUAGCUAGAGAGAUCUGAACUUACUAUAGACUUUGAACUUGAUGCUGAUUUCUUCUCCUCCAACCAUCUUUUUGCUUCCAUGACAGCUUUAUUAGACAUUUCACCCACAUCCACCUCUGAGAAAGAAAAAAAGCGAGAAAAUGUUAUCACAUAGACUAAUCUCGUCUGCUUGCACAAGAUUAGUUACAUACCAUUAUCACUAUGCCUCCCCUCAUUAGGAGUGGGGACACUGGGAUGAUCUACAACCCUCGCCUUGAUGAUAUCUAUUAAUCUAUCGCCUUCUUCCCUGGAACAACAUACAAAUCAACAGCUUAACAAGCUCCUCAUGAAAAAAUAUUACAGAUUUAUUUUCAACUAUAUGUCUAGACACUUGUAAAUACCUUGCAAAUGUUUCUUGCAUGAUAAGCUGCUCAAUUACACGCUUAGAACCGAGUCUUUGGAUGGUUGAUUCCUGAAGGUCAUAUUAACACAAGAACACAUCAUAAUCGCUUCACAUAAACUGAAAUAAGACUUCCAUCAAAAAUUACAAAGUUGAAAAAGUCAACUUUGUGUACUUCUACAAAACAAUCAAACUGGUGAAAAGGUAGACUCAGCACAAAACCAUAUCGAAAAUUUUCAAACUAGAGAACCUUUGGUAACACCAUACACUAGGCCAAUAUAGCUUGAAUCAGUUCUGUGAAGAAUGAACUUGGAGAUUACAGGCCAAGGGUCUCUAAGUAAAUUUAAAACAAGGCAUAGCAUAAUCACACAAAACGAGUAAGGUGGUUAGUACCUCAACCAUUGUUUCAUCUUCGAGAACAUCCUCAUCAUCACCUUCAAUAUCAGAAAACAAAUGAAACCUACUUCAAAAGAGUAUAAGGAAGAAACAAGCAGGAUGAUGGGUGGAACAUAGUUAAACCCGUAUAUGAAAAAAAAAACAUUAGAGCUUGAGAACUUAUACAAUGAUUCACUGCAAUUAAGUGACAUUAAUGAAGGAAAUAGAAAAAAAAGGUGGAAGCUUUAAAUCAAAUUCACAUUUCAAAGAAAAAGGGUUGGUUUCAGAUUCCGAGUUUCCGACCAAACAAAAAAACCGAAAUUUCCAAACUAAUCUUGUCUGAAUCUAACGAAAGUAUUCAUUUUUUUUUGCUUAACCGAAUGAAUUAAGGCAACACAUAUAUAUACCUGAAGAUGAAUCCUCGUCCUCGGAAGAAGAUGAGGAAGAUUCAGAGAAGACGACGGAAGAAAUGAAUUUCCCGGCGCCGGAGGCAAUCACGGUGACAGGUUUGUAAACGAGCCUGGACAUCCAACUAGGGUUUUGCUGAGGAGGAUCUCUGGAUCUUGGAGCGGGGCGGUCGUACGGCGUCUUGACGGCGAAUCUCCGGCGAGGUCGAACAAUCUUGCCUCCGGAUUGAGGCUGACGUGGUCCGGCGUCGGAAUCCAUGGGAGAAGUCAGAAGGGAGAAAGUGAGAGAGUUCGUUGAUGUUUUUUCUAGUUAUUUGUCGUCUUCUU
rnacentral:lncRNA from 1 species